rnacentral:lncRNA from 7 species
AGUUUAUGGGUUGGUACGUAGAGUGUGCUUAGGCUGUUUCUUUCCAAAAGAGAAAUGGGUGAUUUUAAAUGCCAUCACAGCCUUCUCUCAUUAGUGUAAAUUAACUUGAGAGUGCUUUUCCAUUCUGAAUGUCAUCACAUGGAGCAGAAAUCACUCAGCAGCACCGCGAGCUCUGAAAGGGUGAAUGAUUUUAAGAGGUCUGAGUUCAAAGCAGCCCCCGCUGUCCUUUUAGUCCCUGAGUCCCAGUGGAGGUCAUAGAAUCACGGGAUGGUUGGAGUUGGAAGGGACCCCAAAGGCCAUCUGAUGCCAGCCCUGCACUGAGUAGGGACACCCACAGCUCCAGCAGUGCUCACAGCCCAUCCCCUGACCUCGGCUGUCUGCAGGGAUGGGGCACCAUUGCCUCUCUGGGCAACCUGUGAUGGUGAUGCUUUGUGCAGGGAGCAGAGCAGGUUGGCACAGCACUCUUCAGGCCUGAUGUGCUGAGAGGAGGGAAAAAAAAAAAUCCAGGAAAAACUAGCUCCUUUAAUUCUGCCCGGUGAUCCCUCAUAGGGAUUUCAUGAUGCACAGUUUGUAUAGUAGGAACCAACGCAUAAGAACAACAUGUGACUUUUUCACAGCUGCAUAAAAACUCAGAUCUGGGCCGAAGAUCAGCUUCUGAGCACAUCUCCUGUCACUGUGUCCUUUCCCGAGCAUUUUUCACGCUGCCCGUUGGGACGAAUUGCAUCAGAAUAGGUGGUUUCAGCAGCACGACUCUGCCAUCUGCUCAGGGUUUCCAAGGAAUGGUGGUGUGGCGGAGCUGGCUGCUGGAUGAGGCAGGACGGGCCGGGGCUGCUCUGAUGUUGGUGCCUCUUUCCAGAAAGGAGUAGGGAGCGUGGCAAGAGGGAAAGGAGGGUUUGCUGAGAAUAAAGUUUACCUCUUUAACUGCUUGAGCUCUUAAGAGAGGCUUCCAGAGAGGGUGAAGAAAUCUUAAUUUUCUCUCUAUUUAAAUGGGAUAAUCCUAUCUUACCUCUUUCUGUUUCCAGCCCCCCUGUGUAUAUUCCAAUUAAAAGCUCAACCUUCUGGAUUUUUCCAGAUCUAUAUAGAUCUGGAAAAUAACAUUAGCUGGUACUUUUUAAUGCGUUCUGAGUGGUUGGAGUGACGUCCCCGAGCAGCUGAAGGCAUGGCUGUGGUUGGCAAGGCGGUGUGAAAAGUCCUUCAGCUCAAAGUGCUGCUUUUCAUACAUGAGCAUGAAUAUUUCCUCUUCUGCACCGACAGCAUCCAUUUCACAGAAAACAAUAAUGAGAGAGAAAAGAGGAGGUUUUAUCCCAGGGCCAUGUCACCAAAGGCCAGGCUAGAGCCUGAAGCUUGGUAAUAAAGACACCUGCCUAUCUUUAACUUGUUGUUCCUGCUCCACUGUACCCUUUGGAGACCUUGCCACAAACAAAGCGUUGCAUGACAUACAAAUCUGGAACUGAAGAGCCUCUUCUGCACGAAUCUCAUGCUCCCUCCUGCCACCCAUGCCUGGCAAAUUAGAAGUGAGGAGAGCCUCCUCACAGCACUGAGAGGGCCACUGAAGUCACAGGGAGUGCAGCAGAUGAUAUCUAGAAGUGCAAAAGCAACUCGAGCAUCUCGCUGGUGCAGACUCUUCGUUCUCUCCAGCAGCUGUUAUCCAGCCUGACCUUCUCCCCGCCCUCCAUCUGUGCUAAUUAGACCAGGCUUUGAGGUAUCAGUCCUUUCUGUUAGUGAUUUUUGUCACAGAAUUUCUAGCAAUUUAGCCAAUUGUGUUGCAAAUUAACCUUUGGCAUUCUCAUUCAUGGAGAAAUGGUGUUGAUCCCUGAUUAGUGUCUUGUGAAGCUGCUGGCAGUCAUCGCUGUGUGUUAGUUCUGCUGGGCUGGUGAAUUCAGGGCAGUUCUUCCUAUUGCAAUUAAAACACCAAACCUGCAAUGUGGCUGCACCAGCAGCAGCAUGUCAACAAACAUGUAAACCCAGUAGUAUUCAUAGAAUCACAGGGGUUGGAAGGGACAUCUGGAGGUCUUU